AAACUUUCAACAACGGAUCUCUUGGUUCUGGCAUCGAUGAAGAACGCGGCGAAAUGCGAUAAGUAAUGUGAAUUGCAGAAUUCAGUGAAUCAUCGAAUCUUUGAACGCACAUUGCGCCCGCCGGCAUUCCGGCGGGCAUGCCUGUUCGAGCGUCAUUU
rnacentral:rRNA from 4 species